UUUGUACGUAGCACAAGCACAGCACAAAAUAUGUUUAUAAAUUCACAACAGUGUUUUUUAUGUAUUUAUAUAGUGGAGCGAGACAUUUUUCACUAUGUAGUAGGUCAAUAAGGCGGCGGGAGGAAGUUACUUGAUUGUCAAUUUGAAUAAUGUCACUGAUUUCACUCGCAAGCACUAAUCUUUGAAUAGAAAAUUGACGACACACAAAAAUCAUAUGUUCUAUGUCGGGCGAGUCUUCACUAUUGCAAUACGGACAAGUUUGCUGCUCAAUUAUUCGCAGUCUUGUAAGAUGUGCUGGUGUCUUAUGGUGACCAAAUCUCAGUCUAUUGAUGGUACAUAUGAAUUCUCGGCUAGCACGUUUGUAUUCGGGCUUCGAAUACCAUGGCUUAGUUGAUAAAUACGACACAAAUGUGGAGAGACACUUUGUAAGAUGUCAACUGCAUCAGCCAAUGGACCCGAGACUGGUAUCAGGUCCGUGAUAAGUGAGAUAAAACUAUCAGCACAACUACGCCCUCUGCGAAAUCCAUACUGAAAAUAUGGAAAGACACAAUUCGACUCUGCAUACCAGUCAAGGCGAUUUUUAAUCAUGUUCUCAAAUAUCUUUCCCAGACAUGAAGACAAUGAAAUAGGUCGAUAUGAAGUUGCAAGAUCAGGAGGUUUACCAGCCUUUAAUACUGGAACAACACAUUGCGUUUUCCAUGAGUUUGGAAUAGAUUUUUGAAGCCAUAAACUAUUUAGAAUUUUAAGAAAUAAUUUCUGUACAGUAAUAUGUAAAUUUUUUAUAAGUAAAUAUGGAAAAUUAUCUAGA